rnacentral:rRNA from 1 species
CAGUCGUACCGGCGGGUAAUCAGCCUUUUGGGUGCGAUUAUGUGGAGCGUGAGGAGUUAAUCACCCUCAUCUUUGCAUAUUUGUGCACUUUGGGUGUACUUGCUCGUGUGGUAGGUUAACAUCAAUUUUGAUCGUCAUAAAAUGAUCGGGGGAAUGUAGCUUCGAUUGAAAGGGAAACGAUUGAAGUGUUAUAGCCUUCGGUAGAUGUGAUGAUUGGGAUUGAGGAUUGCAACGGAUACCCUUCGGGGCUACCUGUCUGAUCUCUGAAAGUUGCUCUGGUGCCGAAAGCUUGCUUACGGUAUUAAAGUUGACGUUCAACAGGUUAGAACGGGAUAAA